UGAGUCUAUCCCUCCAACUUUUCCAGAGGUAAAAGGAAUUACCAUCUGUCACCUAUAAUCAUUUCUCGCAAUACAAUAUAAUUUCCAAAGGCUCCAGAAACAAAACAUAAAUUCAUCUAUUUCGGCCAAUUACAUAAAUUUCUCUACUGCGUACUCAAUACAAUAAUCAAAU